rnacentral:rRNA from 1 species
AGCCGUGGCUUUCGGAGCUAACGCGUUAAGUAGACCGCCUGGGGAGUACGGUCGCAAGAUUNAAACUCAAAUGAAUUGACGGGGGCCCGCACAAGCGGUGGAGCAUGUGGUUUAAUUCGAUGCAACGCGAAGAACCUUACCUACUCUUGACAUCCAGAGAACUUAGCAGAGAUGCUUUGGUGCCUUCGGGAACUCUGAGACAGGUGCUGCAUGGCUGUCGUCAGCUCGUGUUGUGAAAUGUUGGGUUAAGUCCCGCAACGAGCGCAACCCUUAUCCUUGUUUGCCAGCGAGUAAUGUCGGGAACUCCAGGGAGACUGCCGGUGAUAAACCGGAGGAAGGUGGGGACGACGUCAAGUCAUCAUGGCCCUUACGAGUAGGGCUACACACGUGCUACAAUGGCGCAUACAGAGGGCAGCAAGCUAGCGAUAGUGAGCGAAUCCCAAAAAGUGCGUCGUAGUCCGGAUUGGAGUCUGCAACUCGACUCCAUGAAGUCGGAAUCGCUAGUAAUCGUAGAUCAGAAUGCUACGGUGAAUACGUUCCCGGGCCUUGUACACACCGC